GUGCCAGCAGCCGCGGUAAUACAGAGGGUGCGAGCGUUAAUCGGAAUUACUGGGCGUAAAGGGCGCGUAGGCGGUUGGAUGAGUGUGAUGUGAAAGCCCCGGGCUUAACCUGGGAAGAGCAUCGCAAACGAUCUAACUGGAGUAGAUGAGAGGGUGGCGGAAUUUCCGGUGUAGCGGUGAAAUGCGUAGAGAUCGGAAGGAACGUCAAUGGCGAAGGCAGCCACCUGGCAUCAUACUGACGCUGAGGCGCGAAAGCGUGGGGAGCGAACAGGAUUAGAAACCCGCGUAGUCC
rnacentral:rRNA from 1 species